AUGUCGAGACGAGAGGACCAGGAAAGUGAAGUGGAAGAAGGGUACGCUUAGUACGGGAGUAAUUAGCGAGUCUCUUGCUUCUCGUGCAAUCUACUGUGGAAAUUUUAGCAAAAGCACCGCUGGAACAAAAACGGCUUGUUAAAUGAUAUAUAAGACAGAUAAUACAAUAACAACGGCAAGUAACUACAAGCAUAAGAGAUUAGGACAUGAAACCGGGUGGUCCUACCCUUAGAGCUGCCUCCCUUGACCAUGACCGAGGUGAAGAGGGAGAAGGAGAAAGAGAGAGAAGGCUUCGUGUAACCUAUAGAAGUUUAGCAAUCAAGGUCAAAUUCAAUCUUGUUACGACUAUGCACGCAAAUCAAGUUUCGAAACAAAUUACGAAAACGAUCUACCAGGCGUCGUUCAAAUUGCACAAUCACUCUUAAUUCUGAUUUAAUCUUGAGUUUAUGGGGCACAGCAAAGUGAAAUUCGAUGUCGAAAUAAAAAAGAUGAAAAAGCAGAACAGGCCAGGAGGAGGAUGUCGAGGUGGAGCAACUGAGGAAAUCGAAUAUACGUAAACCGAGGCUUAUCAAAUGUAUCUGCAAGAGCAACUGGAGAAUAUCAUAGAACCGUAAUUUCAGGCAUUUAUUAUCGUUCCUGUUGGAAAUACAUACAAAG